rnacentral:rRNA from 1 species
GGUUAAGCGACUAAGCGUACACGGUGGAUGCCCUGGCAGUCAGAGGCGAUGAAGGACGUGCUAAUCUGCGAAAAGCGUCGGUAAGGUGAUAUGAACCGUUACAGCCGGCGAUGUCCGAAUGGGGAAACCCAGUGCAAUUCGUUGCACUAUCGUUAACUGAAUACAUAGGUUAACGAGGCGAACCGGGGGAACUGAAACAUCUAAGUACCCCGAGGAAAAGAAAUCAACCGAGAUUCCCCCAGUAGCGGCGAGCGAACGGGGAGCAGCCCAGAGUCUGAAUCAGCUUGUGUGUUAGUGGAACGGUCUGGAAAGUCCGACGGUACAGGGUGAUAGUCCCGUACACCAAAAUGCACAGGCUGUGAACUCGAAGAGUAGGGCGGGACACGUGGUAUCCUGUCUGAAUAUGGGGGGACCAUCCUCCAAGGCUAAAUACUCCUGACUGACCGAUAGUGAACCAGUACCGUGAGGGAAAGGCGAAAAGAACCCCGGCGAGGGGAGUGAAAAAGAACCUGAAACCGUGUACGUACAAGCAGUGGGAGCACCUUCGGGUGUGACUGCGUACCUUUUGUAUAAUGGGUCAGCGACUUAUAUUCUGUAGCAAGGUUAACCGUAUAGGGGAGCCGCAGGGAAACCGAGUCUUAACUGGGCGUUAAGUUGCAGGGUAUAGACCCGAAACCCGGUGAUCUAGCCAUGGGCAGGUUGAAGGUUGGGUAACACUAACUGGAGGACCGAACCGACUAAUGUUGAAAAAUUAGCGGAUGACUUGUGGCUGGGGGUGAAAGGCCAAUCAAACCGGGAGAUAGCUGGUUCUCCCCGAAAGCUAUUUAGGUAGCGCCUCGUGAAUUCAUCUUCGGGGGUAGAGCACUGUUUCGGCUAGGGGGUCAUCCCGACUUACCAACCCGAUGCAAACUACGAAUACCGAAGAAUGUUAUCACGGGAGACACACGGCGGGUGCUAACGUCCGUCGUGAAGAGGGAAACAACCCAGACCGCCAGCUAAGGUCCCAAAGUCAUGGUUAAGUGGGAAACGAUGUGGGAAGGCACAGACAGCCAGGAUGUUGGCUUAGAAGCAGCCAUCAUUUAAAGAAAGCGUAAUAGCUCACUGGUCGAGUCGGCCUGCGCGGAAGAUGUAACGGGGCUAAACCAUGCACCGAAGCUGCGGCAGCGACACUAUGUGUUGUUGGGUAGGGGAGCGUUCUGUAAGCCUGCGAAGGUGACCUGUGAGGGUUGCUGGAGGUAUCAGAAGUGCGAAUGCUGACAUAAGUAACGAUAAAGCGGGUGAAAAGCCCGCUCGCCGGAAGACCAAGGGUUCCUGUCCAACGUUAAUCGGGGCAGGGUGAGUCGACCCCUAAGGCGAGGCCGAAAGGCGUAGUCGAUGGGAAACAGGUUAAUAUUCCUGUACUUGGUGUUACUGCGAAGGGGGGACGGAGAAGGCUAUGUUAGCCGGGCGACGGUUGUCCCGGUUUAAGCAUGUAGGCUGGUUGUCCAGGCAAAUCCGGAUAAUCAAGGCUGAGGUGUGAUGACGAGGCACUACGGUGCUGAAGUAACAAAUGCCCUGCUUCCAGGAAAAGCCUCUAAGCAUCAGGUAACAUCAAAUCGUACCCCAAACCGACACAGGUGGUCAGGUAGAGAAUACCAAGGCGCUUGAGAGAACUCGGGUGAAGGAACUAGGCAAAAUGGUGCCGUAACUUCGGGAGAAGGCACGCUGGUGUGUAGGUGAAGUCCCUGCGGAUGGAGCUGAGACCAGUCGAAGAUACCAGCUGGCUGCAACUGUUUAUUAAAAACACAGCACUGUGCAAACACGAAAGUGGACGUAUACGGUGUGACGCCUGCCCGGUGCCGGAAGGUUAAUUGAUGGGGUUAUCCGUAAGGAGAAGCUCUUGAUCGAAGCCCCGGUAAACGGCGGCCGUAACUAUAACGGUCCUAAGGUAGCGAAAUUCCUUGUCGGGUAAGUUCCGACCUGCACGAAUGGCGUAAUGAUGGCCAGGCUGUCUCCACCCGAGACUCAGUGAAAUUGAACUCGCUGUGAAGAUGCAGUGUACCCGCGGCAAGACGGAAAGACCCCGUGAACCUUUACUAUAGCUUGACACUGAACAUUGAGCCUUGAUGUGUAGGAUAGGUGGGAGGCUUUGAAGCGUGGACGCCAGUCUGCGUGGAGCCAACCUUGAAAUACCACCCUUUAAUGUUUGAUGUUCUAACGUUGGCCCCUGACCGGGGUUGCGGACAGUGUCUGGUGGGUAGUUUGACUGGGGCGGUCUCCUCCCAAAGCGUAACGGAGGAGCACGAAGGUUAGCUAAUCCUGGUCGGACAUCAGGAGGUUAGUGCAAUGGCAUAAGCUAGCUUGACUGCGAGCGUGACGGCGCGAGCAGGUGCGAAAGCAGGUCAUAGUGAUCCGGUGGUUCUGAAUGGAAGGGCCAUCGCUCAACGGAUAAAAGGUACUCCGGGGAUAACAGGCUGAUACCGCCCAAGAGUUCAUAUCGACGGCGGUGUUUGGCACCUCGAUGUCGGCUCAUCACAUCCUGGGGCUGAAGUAGGUCCCAAGGGUAUGGCUGUUCGCCAUUUAAAGUGGUACGCGAGCUGGGUUUAGAACGUCGUGAGACAGUUCGGUCCCUAUCUGCCGUGGGCGCUGGAGAAUUGAGGGGGGCUGCUCCUAGUACGAGAGGACCGGAGUGGACGCAUCACUGGUGUUCGGGUUGUCAUGCCAAUGGCACUGCCCGGUAGCUAAAUGCGGAAGAGAUAAGUGCUGAAAGCAUCUAAGCACGAAACUUGCCCCGAGAUGAGUUCUCCCUGAGACUUUAAGUCUCCUGAAGGAACGUUGAAGACGACGACGUUGAUAGGCCGGGUGUGUAAGCGCAGCGAUGCGUUGAGCUAACCGGUACUAAUGAACCGUGAGGCUUAACCUU